CCUACGGGUGGCAGCAGUGGGGAAUAUUGGACAAUGGGCUUACGCCUGAACCAGCCAAGUCGCGUGAAGGAAGAAUGCCCUAUGGGUUGUAAACCUCUUCUGUCAGGGGGCAACGCCGACUACGUGUAGCCGGGCUGAGAGUACCUGCAGAAAAAGCAUCAGCUAACUCCGUGCCAGCAGCCGCGGUCGUACGGAGGAUGCGAGCGUUAUCGGGAUUUAUUGGGUUGAAAGGGUGCGUAGGCGGAAUGCCACGUCAGCGGUAAAAUCGCGGGGCUCAACCGCGCUGCGACGGUGAUACUGGCGUUCUUGAGUGGGCUAGAAGGAUGCGGAAUGCGUGGUGUAGCGGUGAAAUGCAUAGAGAUCACGCAGAACUCCGAUUGCGAAGGCAGCAUACCGGCGCCAAACUGACGCUGAAGUGCGAAAGCGUGGGUAGCGAACAGGAUUAGAUACCCUUGUAGUC
rnacentral:rRNA from 1 species